rnacentral:misc_RNA from 1 species
GGAUGAAGAACGCAGCGAAAUGCGAUAAGUAAUGUGAAUUGCAGAAUUCAGUGAAUCAUCGAAUCUUUGAACGCACAUUGCGCCCGCCAGCAUUCUGGCGGGCAUGCCUGUUCGAGCGUCAUUUCAACCCUCGAGCCCCCCCGGGGGCCUCGGUGUUGGGGGACGGCACACCAGCCGCCCCCGAAAUGCAGUGGCGACCCCGCCGCAGCCUCCCCUGCGUAGUAGCACACACCUCGCACCGGAGCGCGGAGGCGGUCACGCCGUAAAACGCCCAACUUUCUUAGAGUUGACCUCGGAUCAGGUAGGAAUACCCGCUGAACUUAAGCAUAUCAAUAAGCGGAGGA